rnacentral:rRNA from 1 species
CGAAGGGGCUAGCGUUGCUCGGAAUCACUGGGCGUAAAGGGCGCGUAGGCGGCCAUUCAAGUCGGGGUGAAAGCCUGUGGCUCAACCACAGAAUUGCCUUCGAUACUGUUUGGCUUGAGACCGGAAGAGGUCAGUGGAACUGCGAGUGUAGAGGUGAAAUUCGUAGAUAUUCGCAAGAACACCAGUGGCGAAGGCGGCUGACUGGUCCGGUUCUGACGCUGAGGCGCGAAAGCGUGGGAGCAAACAGGAUU